CCACUUAUAAGUUAAGAGCUUAUUUGGUAGAGAGAAUAAACACAUAUAAAGUUAGACUUUCCUUGUUAGCUUUUCUACCAAUAACUUAUAGCUUAUUGGUUAGAGAGAAUAAGUUAGAAAAGCUAGAAAGCUAGUCUUUCAUAUUUCAAGAAGCAAGAAGGAGAUCAAAGGUUAAGCAAGUAAUCAUCAAAGGGUAAGCAACGUUGAA
rnacentral:lncRNA from 1 species